rnacentral:misc_RNA from 1 species
GAAAUGCGAUAAGUAAUGUGAAUUGCAGAAUUCAGUGAAUCAUCGAAUCUUUGAACGCACAUUGCGCUCGCCAGUAUUCUGGCGAGCAUGCCUGUUCGAGCGUCAUUUCAACCAUCAAGCUCUGCUUGCGUUGGGGAUCCGCGGCUGCCCGCGGUCCCUCAAAAACAGUGGCGGGCUCGCUAGUCACACCGAGCGUAGUAACUCUACAUCGCUAUGCUCGUGCGGCGGGUUCUUGCCGUAAAACCCCCAAUUUCUAAGGUUGACCUCGGAUCAGGUAGGAAUACCCGCUGAACUUAAGC